rnacentral:rRNA from 1 species
CACGUAGGGUGCGAGCGUUGUCCGGAAUUAUUGGGCGUAAAGAGCUCGUAGGCGGUGUGUCGCGUCGGCCGUGAAAACCUGCAGCUUAACUGUGGGCGUGCGGUCGAUACGGGCAGACUUGAGGUAUUCAGGGGAGAACGGAAUUCCUGGUGUAGCGGUGAAAUGCGCAGAUAUCAGGAGGAACACCGGUGGCGAAGGCGGUUCUCUGGGAAUAUCCUGACGCUGAGGAGCGAAAGCCAGGGGAGCAAACGGG